CCCAGCAGCUAUAUCGCCCUGCAACUCACAACUGGCUGUUCACUGAAGCUCAGCAGGUGUGAGUCUGGCCAGUACCUGGAUGGGAGACUCCUGGGAAAAACUAGGGUUGCUGCUGGAA
rnacentral:rRNA from 1 species